rnacentral:tRNA from 1 species
CUCCCCAAGUAGGAUUCGAACCUACGACCAAUCAGUUAACAGCGACGCUCUACAUG